CUACCCCUUUCUUUUUCUCUUACUCCUCAAACCUCUCUCUUGUAAGAGGAAGACUCUUACAUUUGGGUUUAUCAGAAGUUUUAACUGAUAAAUCAUACUAACAUUGCCAAUUUUCCCUUUGUUUUAUUUUGUUGGCUGAAACCCUUUUGUUUAUACUUCAAUAUAUUUCUAUGGAGAAGCAUUUUAAGCUCAUUUCAAUGGCUCCCCUGUUUCUGCUCUUAUGUUUCCCAUUUGCUUUUGCUGGCCAUGACUAUGGCCAAGCUCUCAGUAAGAGCAUUCUCUUCUUUGAAGCUCAAAGAUCUGGUUACCUUCCCCAUAAUCAGAGAGUUACUUGGAGAGCUAAUUCUGGUCUAAAUGACGGCAAGUCCAGUGGGGUGGAUCUCGUAGGCGGGUACUAUGAUGCAGGGGACAAUGUGAAGUUUGGGCUGCCCAUGGCCUUCACCAUUACAAUGAUGUCGUGGAGCAUAAUAGAGUAUGGGAAACAAAUGGCUGCUAGUGGUGAACUUAGUCAUGCCAUGGCUGCCGUUAAGUGGGGAACUGACUACUUUAUUAAAGCUCACCCUGAACCCUAUGUUCUCUAUGGGGAGGUGGGGGAUGGCAACAGUGACCAUUACUGCUGGCAAAGACCGGAGGACAUGACCACUGACCGUCGAGCUUACAAGAUUGACACAAGCAAUCCAGGGUCGGAUCUAGCCGGUGAAACAGCCGCUGCGAUGGCUGCUGCCUCCAUCGUCUUCCGCCGCUCCAACCCUGCCUACGCCAAUGAGCUCCUCGCCCACGCACAUCAGCUAUUCGAUUUUGCGGACAAGUACAGAGGCAAAUAUGACAGCAGCAUUACUGUUGCCCAAAAAUAUUAUCGCUCCAUUAGUGGAUACAAUGAUGAGUUGCUGUGGGCUGCUGCCUGGUUGUAUCAGGCAACCAACAAUCAGUACUAUUUGAACUACCUUGGGAACAAUGGUGACUCAAUGGGUGGAACUGGAUGGGGCAUGACUGAGUUUGGCUGGGAUGUCAAGUAUGCUGGGGUCCAGACUCUUGUUGCCAUGUUCCUGAUGCAAGGAAAAGCCGGACACCAUGCACCUGUCUUUGAGAGGUACCAACAGAAGGCCGAGUACUUCAUGUGUUCAUGCCUUGGAAAGGGUACCAGGAAUGUUCAGAAAACUCCUGGUGGUCUAAUUUUCCGCCAGAGGUGGAACAAUAUGCAAUUUGUCACAAGUGCAUCCUUCCUGGCUACUGUCUAUUCUGACUAUCUUGCAUCUGCUGGUAGAAGCAUGACGUGUGCUUCUGGCAAUGUUGCUCCAUCUGAGCUUCUCUCUUUCGCACAAUCUCAGGUGGAUUACAUUCUUGGAGACAACCCAAGAGCUACUAGUUACAUGGUGGGCUAUGGAAACAACUAUCCACGGCAAGUUCACCACCGGGCUUCCUCAAUUGUUUCCAUUAAGGUUAAUCCUACAUUUGUAAGCUGCAGAGGUGGUUAUGCCACUUGGUUUAGCAGGAAAGCAAGUGAUCCUAAUGUCCUUAUUGGUGCUAUUGUUGGUGGCCCUGAUGCCUAUGACAAUUUUGCCGAUGAAAGGGACAAUUAUGAGCAAACAGAGCCUGCUACCUACAACAAUGCUCCUAUUCUUGGUAUAUUGGCACGCCUAAAUGGUGGACAUGGAGGCUACAACCAACUUCUUCCAGGUACAUAAGCUCUUUAGCCAUUUUUAAUUCUUUUACUUCUCUUUAUUUCAUUGAGUUAGAAAAUCAGGAUUUUCUAUCACAUGGAGUAACAAUGAUCAUGGGUUUAUGUUAACAGUGGUGGUUGCAGGUCCUACCCAACAGAAACCAGCACCACAGCCAAAAGCAACUCCAGCUCCAGGUACUUUUUGCUUCCCUUCUAAAUGUUUUUCUUUUUCAUGCCUACUGCACUCAUUUUGGCAUUUAUUUUUUAGCUGGUUGAUUAAGGGAUUAUUGACUUCCUUUCGUUAAUACCAUUGAAUUUGGACAACAUCUAAUAUUGAAAUAUCUAUUUUCCAGCUUCAACUUCUGCCCCUAUUUCCAUAGAGCAGAAGAUGACAACUUCAUGGAACGCCAAGGGAAAAACUUACUACAGAUAUUCCAUUACAGUUACCAAUAAGUCCGCUAAGACAUUGACAGAUCUUAAGCUUUCAAUAUCUAAGCUUUAUGGUCCUAUGUGGGGUCUCACGAAGUCUGGAGAUUCUUAUGCUUUUCCGUCAUGGCUUAAUUCUUUACCUGCUGGAAAAAGUCUCGAGUUUGUUUAUAUUCAUUCAGCCUCUGCUGCAGAUGUCUCAGUUUCAAGCUACACUUUAGCCUGAAAAAGGAAGAAAAUCAAUUACAGAAACGAGAAAAAGGAUGGUACAACUUCUGGGGUUGUAAUGUAAGAAUUGUGCAGCUAUACAAAAAAUGCAGUCCAGAAUGGUCUUUUUUUUUGUUUUUUUACACCUCUUCUUCAUUUGGGAUUUUCAUCUUGUUGAUUUGGUAUUUAAUUAAGGUUCAGUGAUUUUUAGGUUAAAUAAGGUUGGAGGACGAAAGGAGUGACGAGACAAUUAAAAAGAAGUGCUCAUCCUCUUUCUCCUCCACUUCAUUAGCUUACAUAGAUAUGUUUGAGAGAGACGGUUAAAGAGUGCUAGUUGAGAUGCAAAAGCUCAGGCUUCUCAAUUAAAUUUCAAGAGUCUUUUCUCUUUGUACUUGGAAACAGCUUUGGAUGUUCUUUUUGGUGUGAUGUUGUAAGCUCUGCAACAAAUUUUUUAAACUUCCUAUAUGAAUAUAGUCUCCGGCAAUUGGCG
rnacentral:misc_RNA from 1 species